GAUCAUAUCUCAUGGACAUGGGCAUAAAGGCUUUAAGGAGAUAUUUUUACCUCAUCACGUUCCAGUCAUAUCUCUAUUGCACUUCGGCACCUGCAACAACAUUUACAUCUUCGAUGGAUGCAAGACCUGAACUUGGACAUCUCUGUAAUAACCUGAGAAUAGAUAGAUAGAUUUUGAAGGCUGAGCGGCCUUGCUAGAGGAUAUGUCGUAUAGUAAAUUAGUUGCUAUAUAGAUAUGUGUAUCAUUCUCUCUUCUCAUUGUGGACCCGUAGAGAUAAGGAAUAAUGUCUAGGAAAAUGCAAUUUACAAGAAACAUUCUUGCUCGGUAUAUCUUUCCCGUUAGAUGUAUAUAAAAUGUGGGUGCAGGUGCUUAAUCA